rnacentral:rRNA from 1 species
GCCAGCAGCCAUAUCACCCUGCAACUCACAACUGACAACCCACUGAAGUUUACCAGGUUUGAGCCUGUCCAGUACCUGGAUGAGAGAUCUUCUGGGAAAAUUAAGAUUGCUGCUGGAA